GCAAAGUAAAUAUAAAAUUCGGAAAGUAGAACGAAUUCGAAAGAUCUCAACAUUAUGGUUUCCAGAAUGAUGAGUUAUAUACUAGUAUCUAUCAUAACUGCGUUUACACUGUUAAGUCCCAGCGAUUCAACUGCUAGUAAUUGUUACGGGACACAUUACAAAACUAUCAACGAUCCACGUCGAAGUACAGGCUAUGACGUUUCGUCCUCAAAUAAUACGAUAAACCAUCUUUGCGAUAGACACUUGCUACAGGACAACGCUUGGUAUCGAUUUUCAAGCGAAGCUGGCGGAGAAAUGCCAACAACAAGGCCUAAACUCGGAAGCUGUGGAACCUAUGUUCCUAUCUGGAUGAAUGGUUCCCAUCCCACCAUCGAGGAUGGAAUAGUGGCAAGAAAAGCUUGUGCCAAUGUACUAUUUGGUUGGGGUUACAGCUACAAUAUACGUGUUCGUAAUUGUAGUGGAUAUUAUAUUUACAAGUUAAAGACUCCAGCAAAUUGCGUUUUGGCGUAUUGUGCAGGU